rnacentral:sRNA from 1 species
GGUUGGAGGUUGCAGGGCCGGCGAGGAGGAGAAGUCAUGGCGGCUGCGCUGUUCGUGCUGCUGGGAUUCGCGCUGCUGGGCGCCCACGGAGCCUCCGGGGCUGCCGGCUUUGUCCAGGCGCCACUGUCCCAGCAGAGGUGGGUGGGGGGCAGUGUGGAGCUGCACUGCAAGGCCGUGGGCAGCCCGGUGCCCGAGAUCCAGUGGUGGUUUGAAGGGCAGGGUCCCAACGACACCUGCUCCCAGCUCUGGGACGGCGCCCGGCUGGACCGUGUCCACAUCCACGCCACCUACCACCAGCACGCGGCCAGCACCAUCUCCAUCGACACGCUCGCGGAGGAGGACACAGGCACUUACGAGUGCCGGGCCAGCAACGACCCGGACCGCAACCACCUGACCCGGGCGCCCAGGGUCAAGUGGGUCCGCGCGCAGGCAGUCGUGCUAGUCCUGGAACGUGAGUGGCGGGCACCUCCCUCCCCGCCUCCCUCAGUUUCCCUCCUGUGCCGCUCGCCUCCUGAUUCCUGCUCAGUAGAACCCAGACGCCU